GUCACAAUCAGCUAGGCUCUGAAGACAAAUCCGAGUUCAGGCUGUGGAUUGGCUGAUCCCUCAUGAAUAUGUAGAUUACUCUCACCCUUCACCUCGCUCUGGAAAAACCAGCCACCAUGUUGUAAGGAUGCUCAAGUAGCACUAUGGAGAUUCACACGUGGCAAAGAGCUGAGGCCUCCCACCAACAGCCACAUGAGGGAGCCAGAGUAGGAGUGGCUCCUCCAGCCCCAGUCGAACCUUCAGAUGUGACAGACUUGGCUGCUGACAGUUUGCAAUCUCAUGAGACCCUGAGCCAGAACCACCCAGCUAAAUCAGUCCUGGACUCCUGAUCAACAGAAAUGGUGUAGACCAAAGAGAGGCGUUUUGAACAUUAAGACGCUUUGCUGCUUCUCACCUGAAACACGUAACAGGAACACCAACCUCUUCAGCCGCGGGAAAUCUUCUUUGACACAAAACUCAAACCGAGUCAACCCAAAGUUCCAAGUUCUUUGCUUUCUCUUCUGUGUGUGUGUUGGUUUGUCCCAAAAGUCAGUUUGCAAGUUGAAACUUCAUGAAAUUACUCGUAGCAGAAAUAAAGUACAUUGUACAAAUCA
rnacentral:lncRNA from 1 species